UAUUCAAUUUGGAAUGCGAUUUUGUUAAUAAAAAAAAUACUUAUAACUUAUGCAAAACCCAAGCGAGGCAUUUAUAUUUAUUUCUUUUGCGUUCAUUUUCAAAUUCGCCGUGCAUAUAUUUUUGUGCAUGGCGCUUGAGAGGGCAUCACGUGACUAAAAACGACCAACCAACGACCUCGCUUCGGCCAUCUUGGCAUCUUCAUCUUGGCGACCUUGCCGUUGCCCGGCCUUGCCUUGCCGUGGAUUGUUGUUUGUAUUUUGUAUUAUUUGUGCUUUUUAAGAAUAUUUUUUUAAUUCGGAUACUUUUAUAAUAGCUUUAAUAGUAUUAUUAACAUAGUGCAUAAAAUGGUGUCCUGUUUUUAACGCAGUUGGAGUAGCAGAAACAAAUGUAGAUAAAAAAAUCUGCAGGAAUAACGUUUCAAUUAUGACAGAAGCUCAAAACAAAUGACUGUGAAUGAAAAGCCCUAUUAAAAGCUUUCCAGAAGAUCCUGCGAAGAAGACAAGAAAGUAUAGAUUAGAUUUGUUAAUAGAGGAGUAUGUUCAAAACACUUUUUAGAAAAAGAUAUUGACAGAACUUCACUUUCAUCUGUUCGUUUGAGAGACUGUGCUGUUCCAAUAGCUUAUGUCACACAGAAUCAGCUGAGAGAAGUGGUCUACAAAAAACCAGAAAGGAAACGGAAUAUGUGGCUACGAAAAGCAAAAGAAAGGUUUACAAAGCAAAUGUGACACAUUUUUUUAUAAUAUUUAGGAAUGUCAGCAAAUUACAUUAAAAAAUGUAUGUAAAGAUUUUUUGCAAUAAAAAUGUUUAUAUUUA